rnacentral:rRNA from 1 species
AGAGUUUGAUCCUGGCUCAGGAUGAACGCUGGCGGCGUGCUUAACACAUGCAAGUCGAACGAACCUUCGGGUUAGUGGCGGACGGGUGAGUAACGCGUGAGAAUCUGCCCUCAGGAGGGGGAUAACGGCUGGAAACGGCCGCUAAUACCCCAUAUGCCGAGAGGUGAAAUGAAUUUCGCCUGAGGAUGAGCUCGCGUCUGAUUAGCUAGUUGGUGGGGUAAGAGCCUACCAAGGCAUCGAUCAGUAGCUGGUCUGAGAGGAUGAUCAGCCACACUGGGACUGAGACACGGCCCAGACUCCUACGGGAGGCAGCAGUGGGGAAUUUUCCGCAAUGGGCGAAAGCCUGACGGAGCAACGCCGCGUGAGGGAUGAAGGCCUCUGGGCUGUAAACCUCUUUUAUCAAGGAAGAAGAUCUGACGGUACUUGAUGAAUAAGCCACGGCUAAUUCCGUGCCAGCAGCCGCGGUAAUACGGGAGUGGCAAGCGUUAUCCGGAAUUAUUGGGCGUAAAGCGUCCGCAGGCGGCCUGAUAAGUCUGUUGUCAAAGCGUGGAGCUUAACUCCAUUUCGGCAAUGGAAACUGUGAGGCUUGAGUGUGGUAGGGGCAGAGGGAAUUCCCGGUGUAGCGGUGAAAUGCGUAGAUAUCGGGAAGAACACCAGUGGCGAAGGCGCUCUGCUGGGCCAUAACUGACGCUCAUGGACGAAAGCCAGGGGAGCGAAAGGGAUUAGAUACCCCUGUAGUCCUGGCCGUAAACGAUGAACACUAGGUGUCGGGGGAAUCGACCCCCUCGGUGUCGUAGCCAACGCGUUAAGUGUUCCGCCUGGGGAGUACGCACGCAAGUGUGAAACUCAAAGGAAUUGACGGGGGCCCGCACAAGCGGUGGAGUAUGUGGUUUAAUUCGAUGCAACGCGAAGAACCUUACCAGGGUUUGACAUCCUGCGAAUCCCUUGGAAACUUGGGAGUGCCUUCGGGAGCGCAGAGACAGGUGGUGCAUGGCUGUCGUCAGCUCGUGUCGUGAGAUGUUGGGUUAAGUCCCGCAACGAGCGCAACCCACGUCUUUAGUUGCCAGCAUUGAGUUGGGCACUCUAGAGAGACCGCCGGUGAUAAACCGGAGGAAGGUGUGGAUGACGUCAAGUCAUCAUGCCCCUUACAUCCUGGGCUACACACGUACUACAAUGCUACGGACAAAGGGCAGCAAACUCGCGAGAGCUAGCAAAUCCCAUAAACCGUGGCUCAGUUCAGAUCGUAGGCUGCAACUCGCCUACGUGAAGGAGGAAUCGCUAGUAAUCGCAGGUCAGCAUACUGCGGUGAAUACGUUCCCGGGCCUUGUACACACCGCCCGUCACACCAUGGAAGUUGGCCACGCCCGAAGCCGUUACUCCAACCCUUGUGGAGGAGGACGUCGAAGGUGGGGCUGAUGACUGGGGUGAAGUCGGAACAAGGUA